CGUCAUGACGUUGAACUUCCGUUUCGCCGCCAUUUUGUGAAUGGACGCCGUUGCUAUCGACAUCCCGAAAACAGACUAAAAUAAACGCGAUUCUGAGUCCAAUUAAUACGAUUUUCAGUCACUUCAGUUAAGUUACAACCUUAGACGCAUUCUUCAAAAGAACACGACGUGAUUGCACGCGGUUUCGCCGAGAAUUGAUCAAGGAUGUCGGAGGAGCAGAAUCUGGGCGAAGACUCGAUGAUGAUGGUGAUGAAGAUGGAGGAUGAUGAUGGAGAGGGAUUGGGCGAAGAGCAGAUGCCGGGCGCUGAUGAAGAGGGCGGGCAGGGAGAGGCGGAGGGCUCCAAGAUAGAUGCCAGCAAGAAUGAGGAGGAUGAGGGGAAAAUGUUUGUUGGGGGCUUAAGUUGGGACACAACCAAGAAAGACCUGAAGGAUUACUUCAGCAAAUAUGGAGAGGUGGUCGACUGCACCCUGAAACUGGAUCCUUUGACAGGCCGGUCCCGAGGAUUUGGCUUUGUUCUGUUUAAAGAAGCUGACAGUGUGGAAAAGGUGAUCACGCAAAAGGAGCAUAAACUGAAUGGAAAAGUGAUUGAUCCUAAGAAAGCAAAGGCCAUGAAGUCCAAAGAGCCUGUGAAGAAGAUAUUUGUGGGAGGUCUUUCCCCAGAUACUCCAGAAGAGAAGAUCCGAGAGUACUUUGAUGGUUAUGGAGAGGUGGAUUCCAUUGAGCUGCCAAUGGAGAAUAAAACAAAUAAAAGACGAGGUUUUUGUUUCAUUACAUUUAAAGAGGAGGAACCAGUAAAGAAAAUAAUGGAGAAGAAGUACCACAACAUUGGUUUAAGUAAGUGUGAGAUCAAGGUGGCCAUGUCUAAGGAGCAGUACCAGCAGCAGCAGCAGUGGGGCGGGAGAGGAGGAUACCCCUCCAGGUCCAGAGGGAGAGGAGGUCCCAAUCAGAACUGGAACCAGGGAUACGGAAACUACUGGAAUCAAGGUUAUGGAAAUUACGGGAACUAUGGCUACAACAAUCAAGGCUAUGGUGGAUACGGGGGCUAUGAUUACUCGGGUUACAACAACUACUACGGAUAUGGUGACUACAGCAAUCAGCAGAGCGGCUACGGCAAAUCCCCGAGGCGAGGCGGCCACCAAAACACUUACAAGCCGUAUUAACCUUUAUGCGCCAGCCGAAACGUGCAGCGGGGACUUCCUUGCAGGCCAUGAGCUGACUUCCCGAUUGUCUCAGGGUACGAGAGGCGUACGCUCUCGAAUGCUCCCAUUUGACGGAAGGGCGAUUGAAAGUCCCCCCCGAGAGGAGAGAACGAGAGGCUUAAAUGCGGAGUCGAUCAACACGUUACUACACUUUGGUCGCCAGUUCAAAUCUGAAAUUACUUUCAAGCACACGCGCUAAAGUUUCAAGUGUUAAUUCAAUUGAUAUUCGUCACGAAUUUUGUUUUUUAUUUUUGCGUCUUCGUUCUAAUCUAGAGCUUGUGAAAGUUUAUGAUAAUGUUGUGUAGCUCUUAUACAUUUCUGUGUUGAGUACAAUGAACCCUACAGAGCCCAAAUCAUUUAGAAACUAUUUGUUUACAAGUCUAUUAAUUUAUUGCUUACAAGUGUGUACAAAGUGUAGACCAUUUAACAUUCAUAUUGCAGUAUUUUGCUACAGAGUCAUGUAAACCAUUUAGAAAUGCAAUGAAAUAAAAGUGUAUGAACGUGAAGCCUGGUAUUUCUUUAGAGAUUAAAGUAAUAGUUCACCCAAGAAUGAAGAUUGUCAUCAUUUAUUUGCCUUUGCCAUGUGUUUUUUCCUUGCUGCUGUUUUCAGCGUCAUAAAAGUGAAAGGUGCUGGAGUCCAGCUCUAAAAUCACAAAGCAGCAUCAUAAAAGUGUCUGUAUGACUUGUGUGCUAUUCCAAGCCCUCUCAAGCACAAGUAAUGUAGACCAUACAUUUAUGGUGCUCAAUUUAACAGUAAAUUGAAAAUAUAAAUCUCUAUUAUUAUAUUGUUACUAGGAUCAGUAUUUCCUAUAUAGAGCACAUUAGUUUUAUCCCAAAUAAUGCACUGUGUACUGUGACAUUUAUAAGGUUAUUUUGUCAUCUGUCAAUCAUAGUCUGAUAGCCCCUCCCCCUCUACAUCAGUUGAGAACAUAAAGUGUCCAACAUUCCACACUUGAUUUUGAACACAUUCUAUUUGGAAUUUGCAGUGUGAACACACUAACCAGGCUAUUUAUACUGCAACAGGACAUGGAAUAGUGCGCAAGUACGCAAAUUGGGACGCACCUGAUAUCUAUAUAGGUUAUACGUCCUCUUGACAAAGACACUGACUGAUACAUCGUAAGGGUUUGAGUUUAAACUUAAAGAUAUUGAAAAAACCUAAACAAAACUCAGUCCAGAACAUUGUCUAGGUAUAAAAUCAGGGUCGUGAGUACAUGGUGAUUUCACAGUAGUUAAAGCAUGCAGAAGUCAUAUAACAAGCUUAAGUUUACAGCAUUUAAGCCAUACUGAAGAUUUGAAAUGGUCAUUGAUGUCUGGAUGAACAUGUCAAGCACAGUGGUGAGUCACAAAGUAAAUCUAAUAAUAAAUCCUAAAACAU